UAACCUCAGAUAUGUUUUCUAUUCCAUAGGCCUUAAACAACAACGUGUACAAGAAUGUAUCGCCGUACGGCUCCCUGAACAACAUCGUGGAUGGGCUCAACUCGCUGACGGAUCACUUCUCAGACCUUUCCCUGUCAUCAGAGCCAAGAAAGCCUAACAAGAGACCGCCGCCCAAUUAUUUGUGCCACCUGUGCUUCAACAAGGGUCAUUACAUCAAAGACUGCCCUCAGGCACGACCCAAAGGAGAAGGCCUGACCCCCUACCAAGGCAAGAAGAGAUGCUUUGGCGAAUACAAGUGUCCAAAGUGUAAGAGGAAGUGGAUGAGCGGUAACUCGUGGGCCAACAUGGGACAAGAAUGUAUCAAGUGCCACAUCAACGUCUAUCCACACAAGCAGCGUCCGCUGGAGAAGCCGGACGGCCUGGAUGUGUCCGACCAGAGCAAAGAGCACCCGCAACACCUGUGUGAGAAAUGUAAAGUCCUGGGUUACUACUGCCGCCGCGUGCAAUAAACGUCUCCCGUCGCUGUGGUCCGAGCGCCAAGAACGCUUUACCAGUCAUCCUCCGCUCCAUCGACCCUCAAAUCUAGUCACGGUGUUAAGAGAUGACAUUCAGGAAAAACCAGAGGAAUAUAUUUGUGUAAAUCAGAUUCUUGUGCAGGAAAGCCCACUCAAGCAUUUUCUCAUUAGGCUCAUGUUACAGUCAUAGAUGACCUCAUUUUGGGGUUUGUCACCUUUGUGUUUACAGAAAUCCGCCUUCCAUUUCCCUGUCAAGUGAAGUGUGCCCGUGCAUUGUGUGUGUAUAUAUACGCCGACGCGACAUUGCCACAGUUAGGGUCAACAGCACAUCUUUAUUUACUGUGAAUUAACUGAGGGAUAAUGUGCCAUACAUCCCAAGCUUACAUGUGGCCUAUUUAUUUUCUUAUCGUCUAUUGUGCAAUUUGACUUUGAACUGGGACAGGAAAAAAAAAUUAUAUAUAUAUAUAUUCAUUCAUUAUGUAUGUAUGUACGUAUAUGCUUCCACAUGUCUUUAGAAACUACUGUAGGCCUAGUAUCGCUCCGUUAUGUCAAGUGACCAUUCAUGCAGUUUUUGGUUAAAACGUUUUUGAAAACAAAAAUUGCUCAUUAUGCAUAUGCUGAAUAUAUUUGUCGUCGUUUGAAGUAGGGUUAAGUGCCAGUUUCAAGCUUGCCGGAGGCCGUGAAACGAACUGGGAAAUACUGAAACGGUGUGGUGCAACAGCUGAUUGUGGUAUAAAAAGUGCAAAGAGGGUUGAUGAAGGUCGGCGGGAAAGCAGCCAUUUGAAGGCUGGUCAAGUAGAAAACAAACCCCCCCAAAAAUAAAAAAAAUACAGGGAGGAGCAAGAGAGUUACUGUGAAACGAAGGUAUUCUUGGGCCACCCUGAAAA